UGUCUGUUCCCUCCAGUAUUCCUCUGCCUGGCUGUCUCUCUCUUCUCCCCUCUGCUCUCUCUCUGCCUGCCUCGUUAGCCUCAUGUUUGUCACCUGUGUUGCUCCCGCCCUGCACGUUAGUCCCUGUGUAUAUAUCCUGGUGUUUCCGUCUAGUCUUUGUAUGGUCAUUGUAGCAUGUUGACGCUCUGUCUGUCUGUGGUUGUAGUUCGCGCUGUCUCGUCCUGCCUGUUCCCUGUGAGUUCUUUGAAUUUUGGUUUUCACCUGUUUUUUGAUUUCUCUGUCGGAUCACCUGCUUAGUUGUUCCUCUAUGAUUUUGGAUUACCUGGACUCAGCCACUCAUUGUGUCCUCACAGUCUCACGGUCCAGUUGCUUGUUGACCUUGAUGACCCCACAGAGUGGAUCAAUAAAGAAAUGGUUGUCUCGAUCUCCACUGAUGAUGGAGUAGAGAAUGUCUCCAUUCAGCUGACUGUCAACGUCCUCUGCUACCAUCUGAAAACACACGUACACACACGCAGGCACUGAGUUGUCUAAAGAGCAGAAGAUCACCAGCUAGCGUUGUCUUCCAGCAAGUCAGCCAGAGCGGGGCGGGAUGCCACUAUAUCCGUACGGGUGUGCGGCGUCUGACACAGGCUUCAUCCUGCCGGGGUACCUCCAUCCCCCUCAGGCAAACGUUGAGCUAACAAGGAAGCUAACAUGCGGUUUGCCCGUGGAUCAGCCAACCAGGGAAACUCCAUGUGUCCACAUUGCUCCACAUUAGCUGUGGCUAACGACAUCUAGCAACAAGAUUGCUUGCUGUUGGUCCGACCCUUGACGCUCAGAAGAAACGACUGGUAUGCUAUGGGUCGAGACUGUGUGUGAUAAUGUUGUUGC